rnacentral:rRNA from 1 species
GUGAGGAAUUUUGCGCAAUGGGGGUAACCCUGACGCAGCGACGCCGCGUGGGUGAUGAAGGCUUUCGAGUCGUAAAGCCCUGUCAAGUGGGAAGAACCGUCAAUAUGCUAAUACCAUGUUGAUCUGACGGUACCACUAAAGGAAGCACCGGCUAACUCCGUGCCAGCAGCCGCGGUAAUACGGAGGGUGCAAGCGUUGUUCGGAAUUACUGGGCGUAAAGGGCGCGUAGGCGGCGCUGUAAGUCAGAUGUGAAAGUCCACGGCUUAACCGUGGAAGUGCAUCUGAUACUGCAGCGCUUGAGUAUCGGAGGGGAAAGUAGAAUUCCCGGUGUAGAGGUGAAAUUCGUAGAUAUCGGGAGGAAUACCGGUGGCGAAGGCGACUUUCUGGACGAAUACUGACGCUGAUGCGCGAAAGCGUGGGGAGCAAACAGGAUUAGAAACCCUGGUAGUCC